AAAGAAAAGAUUUGAUGUGUCGAUAGAUAAAGGAAAAUUGGAUAUUAGUUUCUUGGAGAAGAGCUGUAAUCAAGGAGCUUGUAGGGAAAUGUUUGAGAAAUGGACUUAGGACGGGCUAGAAGGAUCUGGUUGGCAUAGUAAGAAUGCAUAGUGAGAGAAAUGGAAAAUCACAGCAUGAUAAAGGGUGAAUAAGGAAGGUUGUGGAAGAAGAUGCAGGCCAGGAAAAGCAAAGAAAAUUUCUGAAAGAGGAUCCUAAAGAUGAACAAGGGGCUCUAAAGUGACAAGAGCAACAGAAGAGAUAAGAAAAUGAAGAAGUGAAGAAAAAACAUCUCCGCCUUCCUGAGAUCAUCUACUCUGAGCCUCCUCUGGUGGUCCUCUGAGCACUGAGAAGUUGUUGCCUCUCUCAGAAGAGGCCUGCACAGACAUGAGGUCAAGACGGACAGUUUUCGGUUGUGUGGGUCUCUCAGAUUGCACUGCACAGUAUAAAAAUUAGGGACCAAGUAAUCAGACUUUUUCUUUGGCUGGAUUACAUUUUCUCUUGGGAUAUCAGACGCAUUCCACUGAAGCCACAGAAAGAAAAGUGAAGAUCAAGAUGCUGUGAAAAGAGGCAGCCACUGUCCCUGUCUAUGCCCCAGUGAGGUUCACCUCUGCAGAAACCUGGACCCAGAUCCCAGGCCAGUCUCUACUUAGGUCUCAUUGGUGCCACAUUGGGCUGUUCCUCGGAGGCAGUGUGAGGGUCAGUACCUUCAUCUUGGUGCGCAAGAAGCCAUGGUCUCUG